rnacentral:rRNA from 1 species
CGAUCAGUAGCCGGUCUGAGAGGAUGAACGUCCACAUCGGAACUGAGACUCGGUCCAAACUCCUACGGGAGGCAGCAGUGGGGAAUAUUGCACAAUGGGGGAAACCCUGAUGCAGCAACGCCGCGUGAGUGAAGAAGUAUUUCGGUACGUAAAGCUCUAUCAGCAGGGAAGAUAAUGGCGGUACCUGACUAAGAAGCUCCGGCUAAGUACGUGCCAGCAGCCGCGGUAAUACAUAUGGAGCAAGCGUUAUCCGGAUUUACUGGGUGUAAAGGGUGCGUAGGUGGCAGUGCAAGUCAGAUGUGAAAGGCCGGGGCUCAACCCCGGAGCUGCAUUUGAAACUGCUCGGCUAGAGUACAGGAGAGGCAGGCGGAAUUCCUAGUGUAGCGGUGAAAUGAGUAGAUAUUAGGAGGAACACCAGUGGGGAAGGCGGCUUGCUGGACUGUUACUGACACUGAGGCACGAAAGCGUGGGGAGCAAACAGGAUUAGAUACCCUGGUAGUCCACCCCGUAAACAAUGAAUACUAGGUGUCAGGGCCGUAUAGGCUUCGGUGCCGCCGCUAACGCAGUAAGUAUUCCAC